UAUACGUGCAACCAUAAAUUUUCGCGUCUUAUUUAAAAAAAUUUAUAAUUAGUAUUUUUUACUGUUAUGAGAUGAUAAAUACUUUACUCGUGACUUAUGUUUUUAAUUUUUUUCAAAAAAUUUUCAAAACGGACGGUCAAAGCUAAACGUGGAAAACCAUAGCUACACUUAAA
rnacentral:pre_miRNA from 1 species